AAGUCUGAUGGAGCAACGCCGCGUGAGUGAAGAAGGUUUUCGGAUCGUAAAGCUCUGUUGUUGGUGAAGAAGGAUAGAGGCAGUAACUGGUCUUUAUUUGACGGUAAUCAACCAGAAAGUCACGGCUAACUACGUGCCAGCAGCCGCGGUAAUACGUAGGUGGCAAGCGUUGUCCGGAUUUAUUGGGCGUAAAGCGAGCGCAGGCGGAAUGAUAAGUCUGAUGUGAAAGCCCACGGCUCAACCGUGGAACUGCAUCGGAAACUGUCAUUCUUGAGUGCAGAAGAGGAGAGUGGAACUCCAUGUGUAGCGGUGGAAUGCGUAGAUAUAUGGAAGAACACCAGUGGCGAAGGCGGCUCUCUGGUCUGCAACUGACGCUGAGGCUCGAAAGCAUGGGUAGCGAACAGGAUUAGAUACCCUGGUAGUCCAUGCCGUAAACGAUGAGCGCUAGGUGUUGGGGACUUUCCGGUCCUCAGUGCCGCAGCAAACGCAUUAAGCGCUCCGCCUGGGGAGUACGACCGCAAGGUUGAAACUCAAAGGAAUUGACGGGGGCCCGCACAAGCGGUGGAGCAUGUGGUUUAAUUCGAAGCAACGCGAAGAACCUUACCAGGUCUUGACAUCCUGCGCUACACCUAGAGAUAGGUGGUUCCCUUCGGGGACGCAGAGACAGGUGGUGCAUGGCUGUCGUCAGCUCGUGUCGUGAGAUGUUGGGUUAAGUCCCGCAACGAGCGCAACCCUUGUCUUUAGUUGCCAUCAUUAAGUUGGGCACUCUAGAGAGACUGCCGGUGACAAACCGGAGGAAGGUGGGGAUGACGUCAAGUCAUCAUGCCCCUUAUGACCUGGGCUACACACGUGCUACAAUGGGCAGUACAACGAGAAGCGAACCCGCGAGGGUAAGCGGAUCUCUUAAAGCUGUUCUCAGUUCGGACUGCAGGCUGCAACUCGCCUGCACGAAGCUGGAAUCGCUAGUAAUCGCGGAUCAGCACGCCGCGGUGAAUACGUUCCCGGGCCUUGUACACACCGCCCGUCACACCAUGGAAGUCUGCAAUGCCCAAAGUCGGUGGGAUAACCUUUUAGGAGUCAGCCGCCUAAGGCAGGGCAGAUGACUGGGGUGAAGUCGUAACAAGGUAGCCGUAGGAGAACCUGCGGCUG
rnacentral:rRNA from 1 species